ensembl:processed_transcript Gm9899 predicted gene 9899
GGCGCGGCGAGUGUAGUUACCGAUGGUGGUGAUGACGGUGAUGGCGAAGUAGAAGGAGCCGGCGAAGCGCCACUGCACGCCGGCCUUGUGCGGCUUGAGGCGCAGCACGACGCGCUCCAGCUCCUCGUAGCCGCCCUCGCUGAGGUUGUAGCGCGCCCGCAGCUCCAGCUGCCGCAGCUCCAGCCGCUGCCGCUCGAUCAUCUCCGGCUCCGACUCCAGUGCGUCGAACACCGCGGCGCCCACCAGCAGAACUUCUGCAGUCUCACCCUUGAAGCAGGGACACUGGAGGGACUCAGCCAUUACUGAGAUCACAGGCAGGCCAACGGGAAUUUUAUGAAAUGAGUUUUUCCAAAGCAUCCAUGACUUUUUAAAAAAGGAACACUUUGGUGGCAUCUAGAUCCCAGGUUUAUCAAGGAAGUAGGACCACGUAAACAGAAAUAGGCAUAUGCUGGUGCUCCUGACAGCAGAGGGAUGGGGCCACCCGGCCCUGGAGAGGUGGCCACGGACAACUACUGAAGCGACUGUCAUCAGAGUUCUCAGUGAAGCAGGAUUCAAUCCGUGAUCAGUCUGGCUCCAGCCUGUGCUUCUCCCUCUCCGCCACGCUCCCUCACUAGAAAAUGACUGAGGGCAGAGCCAGGCAACAACAGGGGAAUCAGAACAGAAGGUGCUGUUAACGCUGGGCUGGCACACAGCUAGAGCUCAGAAAAAUGCAGUCACAUGAAUGAAUGAGAAGCUCUGAACGGAAGGCACCGGGCAGGUCCAAGAAUCAGCAUCAGCGUUUCCCAUGGCUGGACAGAUGCUCAGCUUCAGGUGGAAAACAGGUCCCAGAUGUGAGCAAGGCCUGGUGACUAUAGCUCACACAGGGGCUCAGGGACAAAACCAUCAGGGAACAGCUCUGGACCCACUGAAGGUGGAGAUGAGGAAGGGAGGCAGAGCUAUCUUGGCACAGAGCUCGGGCACCCAGCCCAGGCAGGGACUCAGAAGGUCUCCGUGUCUGUGCGGAGCCAAAGGAUAUUGUUGGGGCUUUGAGCUAGUGCCUGAAGAAGAACGUCUAUCCAGGGGCCCUCAGAGACCUGAAGGGGAUGGGACCAUCCUAUCCAUAUGGACCAGGGUUGCCACUGGGAGGGGCCCAAGGUGGGGGUGGGAUAUCCAGGCCAUGAGUACAUAGAUCUCUGCUCAUCCAGAGAUGAUAUGUGUGGUCCAGUGAACCAUAGAAACCACGGUAUGUCAGGGAGAUGGAGGUCAGCUGGGAGGCAGCGCUCAGGCAGAAGGGCACAGCCAUCAGGGACAUGGAAAAAGUGAUGUCGUUAAGGAACAAUGUGAGCCAAAGGAAUGAGCUGUAACUGGCUGGACCUGAAAGGACAAGUGGGAAAGCGGCUGCCAGACGCCCAUGGGUGUCUGAUGAUGGCCUGCCACUACCCUGAGGAAGGGACUGAGCCUCAGCCCCGAGGCUUAGAAGAAAGUUACCCAGCAGGCCUCAUGGCCCUUCUCUGCCUUUAAUACUAUGCCCUUCACCCCUUGGUCUGUUAAUCAAUGCGUGAUAAAUCGAGUCCCGAAAGACCUCCUGUCCAGACUGCACUGCCCUGAUUUUCCAGAGAAGAUCCAAGAAGGCAGCAGGAGGAUAAAGACUGAGUUCUUGGUCAUGCAAGAUGGCCUAAGUCUCUCCCCUACCCCAGCUUCCAAGAGAGGAGUCAUGACCUCUUCUCCCCAAGAAAAUGGGACAAGGAGGACACUGACUCAGGCUUCUCUUUUCUCCUUUGGAAAGAGCUGAGAAAGGCCAGUCCAACCCUGUAGCUCCAAAAGAAAGCCAGCUUGAAGCUGAGGAGGCCUGGCUGGGAGAGAGACUCCUUGGGCCUCUCCUGGAAUGGUGGGCUGUGGAAAGCCCAAGCAGGGAUCUCAGCAGCCCUGAGAAGUCUAGGACCUGUCAGGACUGAGAAAGGGACACUGUGUGGUGAGGACCGAGCUGAUCCAAAGUCUCUAACAGAUGACGAAGCAGGCCUAACUAGGGCCAGGGCCAGGCUGACAUGACUCCAGCCUGUGAGUUUCCUUGUGCCCCACCCCCAUGCUGUUUCCCACUGAGAAAAAUGUUUGUUGGCAUCAAAAUCCCUGGGACCAUGUUUAGGGUGGAUGGGGACCCCAUCUAUUCUUCUGCUACUCUGUGAGGUGCAACAUCUUCAUAGGGGGGUUCUCACCUGGUAUUUGGGGGUAAAGGACCUUGUAGGACUGAGGGAGUGGGGCUGUAAAGGGUAGCUGAUUCCCAGUGGCUUGGUUGGGGCAGACAAAUGGCUACAUCAAGGCCUCCAUCCAAUUGCCAAUGAGAUUGCCAGAUAUGUGCAGACACGUGCUUCCCAAGCUCGGGUGUUUUCUUUAUCAUAUCUGUCCAUAUGUGGUUAUGCGGUCUUCCCCACUCCUCCACAGAUGACGGAUAGCUUUGGGGCUUCCUCAGACAGUAGAUGGGCGUGGCAGUACCCACACAAUCCCUACAACACACUGUGGUCUCUCUCCUCUCUGUAGACACAAGAGUCCUCACAAAAUGUUGUGGUUGUCCCUCCGCUGCCAGACAAGUCCCCUCACGGCUCCCAUUAGCAAUCCUGUCUUACCACUGAUGUCUGAGCCCUUUGUCUCUUCAGGCCAGCUAUCUUUCCAACAGCUGGGGGAAGGACAGAAAGGGACACUUCUGGACAGAGGCUGAGACAGAGCAGGGAACUGAGGCAUGGAGCUGGCCUGAGCCUAGUUCAGGUUCUAAGCAUCCCUGUCCUCAGGUCCAGCAAGUGAGCUCUAGGGCUGCAGGGGUAGGGCAGCAGGCUGAGAGUCACUGUUCUGUUUUCUUAAGCUCCCAGCUGGGACUAGGAACACCAAAUCCUCUUUGAAUAAAACAGAAAAGGGAUUAAAAAAAAAUCAAGACAUUAACCUUGUGAAACCAGACCGCCCCUCUCACCCCCUCCCACCCCCGACACAUAGAGAUUAACUUCUUCCCCCAGGCUUUUUCUUUUUUUCAGUUUUUAUUUCUAUAAACAUCUUAAUUCAUGGCAACAUCACAGCCAGCCUGGAUUACAGAUGGAUAUAGAGGUGAAUGAAAUAGUCACACACACGCACAUACACACACGCACACACCUGGAACAGGGGGAAAGAACAGUGAAUGAGAUUCUAAGGAACCAGGAUUUUUUUGCUGGAGUUUACUUUCCUCGCCUGUAAAGGGAGUAGUUAGCCCUUCUGCCUCUGCCCUUCUGUGAACUCUGUCUUGUCUGCUAGUCCCUUCCAUCAGUGUCCUCUAUGCUGCCAGAGAGCCAGCUCCCCCCCUCCCCCCCACCCAUGGUGACACACCACACCAACUAGAAGUUUCCCUUCAUCCCCAGCACUGGAUGCUACUCUCCUUUCUAUAUCACAGGUUCCAGCAGGGCAAGGACAAGCUGCUACUGUUCCCUGCACCUGUGUAAUGACAGGUGCUCUACAGGUCUUUGUGAGUAAAUGAGUGGGUAACUCUGGAAGCUGCUCUUUAGGUACACUUGGGAUGGGGCUUAGCAUCUUGUAUGAAAUCUGAACCCAAAUCUUGAAAUAGGGUCACUCUCCUCUUGGGGUGAGGAGCACCUGACCUUUCUGGAAAGUUCUUUCCGUUUCCCUCCUGACUCCUGAGAAUGUCUCAAAGUCUCAUUUCUUUUGAAGCCUUCUUCCGAUUUGCCAGCAGCAUUACCCCAAUCAAGCAACAGAUUUUUCGACGCACGUUUUCUGUUCUUCCUCCCACCUACGUCUGACAAGACGGAUCAUUUCCAUCCCUUAAUUAUGUUUUGGUUUGAGGCUGCAGCCAGCUGCAGUGAUUCUCAACUCUGGGUGGCAGUGGGGAGGAGGGUCAUUAUGGGAGCCUUGUCUCAGUCGAGACCAGGAGACAGGUGCUGGGUUCCUCCAUGGCUUUGAGGCUGGGGUAAAGGUGGAACUUCUGCAGGGUUCUGUCUUCGGUUGGGUCAAAGGUUCAGGGGAAUCCCACUUGGCUCUCAUUUUGGUCAGCAUUCCUCAAAGUAUGCUCAGAGACCAGGGUCCCUCGAGGUGUUCUGCAGAAGAAGCCCCAGCCAGCUCAGAUACAUUUGGGGGAACUCAGCUGCACUCAGCCUUUGAUUACAAGCUGCAAAAGUCAACUCGGCUAAUUUAAGCUCAGAAAGGAUUUAUCCCGGAAGACCUUGGAGAGUUCAGAGAACCUCCUGUAGGAGCAGAAAGUCAAGGUCAGAAGGGAAGCAGCCAGCGGCAACACUCAGUGUCACGUGUUAGGACUGAUCCCAGGAAGGCUCCACUGCUGAGCAGACACAGAGCUUAGGCCGCAGCUCUGCCAGCAUAGCUACCACUCACACUUCCAUGCAACACGUUCUACAGAGUCCUUCCGUUUCUACACUCGAUUCUUCUGGGAGAAUGCAUCUCAUUGGUAGAGUGGAAUCAUGGACCUGCCUCCUAGAAUCCAGAGAAGCUGGGACAAUGAUGGGUUGAUCUAUUCAGCUCCUUCCUGUACCUGAAGGCAACCUCUGUCUCCUCAUACAUGGGCAUGGUGGGUUGAGUGAGAAUGGCCUACAUAGGCUCUUCUGUUUGAAUACUUGCUCCUCAAUUGGUUGAACUGUUUGGGAAGGAUCAGGAGGUCAUACCUUGUUGGAAGAGAUGUGUCACUGGGGGUGGGUUUCAAAGACCGUGUGCUAUUCCAGCUGAGCUCUCUGCUUCCUGCUUGUGGACUGAGACAAUCUCUCAGGGGUUGCUCCAGCUGCUUGCUGCCUCUCUUCUUCUGUCAUGGACUCUAACCCUCUGGAACCAUAAGCCCAAAAUAAACCGCUCCUCCCAUAA